CCUACGGGUGGCAGCAGUAGGGAAUUUUGCGCAAUGGGCGAAAGCCUGACGCAGCAACGCCGCGUGAUCGAGACGGCCUUCGGGGUGUUAAGCUCUGUCAGUGGGGACGAAAAUUGACGGUACCUACAGAGGAAGCACCGGCUAACUCCGUGCCAGCAGCCGCGGUAAUACGGGGGGUGCAAGCGUUGUCCGGAAUCACUGGGCGUAAAGAGUGCGUAGGCGGCACGUAAAGUCUGGUGUUAAAGGCAGAGGCUCAACUUCUGUACGGCACUGGAUACUUGCGAGCUAGAAUGCGGUAGAGGUAAGGGGAAUUCCUGGUGUAGCGGUGAAAUGCGUAGAGAGCAGGAGGAACAUCGGUGGCGAAGGCGGCUUACUGGACUGUAACUGACGUUGAGGCUCGAAAGCGUGGGGAGCAAACAGGAUUAGAUACCCGGGUAGUC
rnacentral:rRNA from 1 species